CAAGUAGGUAGUGAAAUCGUGUGGCUCAACCAUACUCACAUUAUCUAAACUGCUAAGCUAGAAUGGUAGAGGUAACUGGAAUUUCUUGUGUAGGAGUGAAAUCCGUAGAUAUAAGAAGGAACACCAAUGGCGUAGGCAGGUUACUGGACCAUUUUCUGACACUGAGGCACGAAAGCGUGGGGAGCGAACGGGAUUAGAUACCCCGGUAGUCCACGCCGUAAACGAUGGAUACUA
rnacentral:rRNA from 1 species